GCCCUACUACACCCACUGGUCGGUUUUAUCAUCUAUUCACAUGGUUGAUCCGUGGAAGAAGGUAUGAAAGAAGAUGACAGCGACCUGUAGUGACCGUAGUAGUUUUUAGUUAUUUUAA